GGCGGGACCGCGCGCGCCGCUCCGCCCACUCCUCCCGCCCGAGCCCUCCUCCCAGCAGCUGGGGGCGGGGCGAGACCCGCCCGCCCCUGUCGUGCAAGGCCCCUUUCGGCUGUCAGUCUGGCAGCGGCGCGCGCCGAUUGGGCCGCUGGCCACCGGGGAGCGGGGGCAGCAAACUAGGAUGAGCACUACUUAAGGUCUAGCUGCGUGAGCCAUUGACGUGUUUGGAGCUGGAGACGGCCCGAGCGCUGGUGAAGCGGUAACCCGAGGUGAGUGGUCCCGCGCCCCUCCCUCCGCGGUGGCUGCAGUGAAGGGGAAAGAGAAGGCCGCACCUAGGUCGCAUCGGGGCCGAAUCCACUUCCGCGCGAAGCCGCUUCUACCAGGGUUCGCCGCAUCGCGGGUCCCUUUCCGUCGCUUUCCCUCUCGGCGAUACAGUUUCCUUCGUUUUCCUCGCUCCCAGCCCCACUUGGCACUGUCUGAGGUCGAAGCAAGGUGUGUUCACCUGUGCCCGCUAUCCACUAUUGGACAGACAGGAAGCAUCGCGGAAGUGAGCGAGGCCUCGGGCUUGUAUCUCUCCGAUUUCUUCAGUCGAUUUCCUUGCCUCCCUCCGGUUGGUCUCUUUUAGCCUGGACAACCUGAUGUUUACCACAACAAAAGAAACUGAACUACCUGACUCUUGACUGAGAAUACCUCCACUUUUCAGGAGCUUGUAAGGUUUGAUUAUUUUUCUUGAAUGUACUUCAUUUCUUUUAACACAACUUAUGGUUUUUGAUGGUCCCGUCUUGGGCAAGGAAAGGAGAAACCAUUUCAUACAAAAAUUCUGACCUCUGUGUGGUUUUACAGACGUAGUUUUUAUUCUGUGGCGUUUUGUAGGUCAUAGUACAUUAUUUGCUGGCUUCUCCUUCAAUCUUUAGGUGGAAGAUGAUUAAGCUAGACCAGGAUUUGGGAAUAUAAGUUAAAUCAGCUCCUUAAACUUAGUGCAGAGCAUUUAAAAAUAUUUGUGGCUGGCUUAUCCAUGGUAUACCAAUAUAUUGAAACCAAAAAAGAAAAAAAUCACUGAAAUAUUUAAGUUAGUUAAUUAUUGGUUUUUAAAUGUUUUUUAGUUUCUUUCUAUAACAUUUCUUUGAAGAUAAUAGGCAUACCAGUUUCAGUUGAACUCCAUUAUAGAGAGCAAUUGUCCUGGGAUAUAGUUGACAUACCUUUUAUAUGAAUAUAUGACUCGACAUGGAAUCACAAAAUGGCUUUUAGGAGACUGUGAUCAUCUUUAAUUGAUAAAGAUUUCUGCAGGCUGUAUCUGUAAGCUUGAGUUGAAAGAUUAAUGAAUCACACACAGUAGCAUUCCCUGAUUCCUUCAACCCAGGGAAGUAUCAAAUAGAUAGAAGAUGCCACUGGAAGUAAAGUUUCAACUCUUUUUUUUUUUAAAACUUUCCGAAAUGUCAACUAAGCGGUAACUUUCUGUUUUGGUAUGUUGGCCACGCCAGUGCUCUUUAGUUAACAAAUGUUUUUGCUAAAGAUGAGUUGAACUACAUUAUUCAACACUGUUUUGUAUAAUCAAUAUGUAAUAAGGAAAUAAUCGUUAGAGUGCAUGCUUAGGUUUUGUUAGUAUAUUUAAUUGUUUAAUCUUGAGAAAUAAGAAGAAAACUGAAUUAUAGCUGAACUAUCUAUCUUUCUUUUUGUACAUUAUAAUCAAAUUUCAGUAGAUGUGUUUAAAUAUGGCCUUUGUGCUGAGAAAUAUGAAAACUGAAUUAUAGCUGAACUAUCUUUCUUUCUGGACAUUAUAAUCAAAUUUCGGUAGAUGUAUUUAAAUAUGGCCUUUGUGCUGAGGCACCAGGGCAAUCAGUGCAAAGGAAAAACACAUCAAAGUCUUUAUUCUAUACAGAGGAUACACAAAAUUCCUCACUACAUAAUCAUUAUGCCCAAAUUAAUUUUCAAGUGAUUAUGGGGCUAAUGAGAUUUACUGAUUCAUUUUCUGUCAUCCACUGUAUAACUCUUU
ensembl:lncRNA